UCCAAUUGAAGCAGAGGACAGUGGCGGACGGGUGAGUAACGCGUGAGUAACCUGCCUGCGAGAGGGGGAUAACAACGGGAAACUGUUGCUAAUACCGCAUAACGCAUCGAUUCCGCAUGGAGAUGAUGCCAAAGGGAAACCGCUUGCAGAUGGACUCGCGUCUGAUUAGAUAGUUGGUGAGGUAACGGCCCACCAAGUCGACGAUCAGUAGCCGGACUGAGAGGUUGAACGGCCACAUUGGGACUGAGAUACGGUCCAAACUCC
rnacentral:rRNA from 1 species